rnacentral:rRNA from 1 species
CUUUACUGUAGCCUGGUAUUGGGUUCGGGCUUUGACUGCGCAGGAUAGGUGGGAGACUGAGAAGUGUGCCUUGUGGGGCACAUAGAGUCAACGGUGAGAUACCACUCUGUCAGAGCUAGAAUUCUAACCUUCACCCGUGAUCCGGGGAAGGAACCGUAUCAGGUGGGCAGUUUGACUGGGGCGGUCGCCUCCUAAAAGGUAACGGAGGCGCGCAAAGGUGUUCUCAGGCUGGUUGGAAAUCAGCCGUAGAGUGUAAAGGCAGAAGAACGCUUGACUGUGAGGGUGACAACUCAAGCAGGGUGGAAACACGGCCCUAGUGAUCCGACGGGAUGCGCGUGGAAGGGCCGUCGCUCAACGGAUAAAAGUUA